rnacentral:rRNA from 1 species
UGCGUAGGUGGCGCCGUAAGUGGGGUGUGAAAUCCCGGGGCUUAACCCCGGGACUGCAUUCCAUACUGCGGUGCUUGAGGACUGGAGAGGAGACUGGAAUUUACGGUGUAGCAGUGAAAUGCGUAGAGAUCGUAAGGAAGACCAGUGGCGAAGGCGGGUCUCUGGACAGUUCCUGACACUGAGGCACGAAGGCCAGGGGGAGCAAACGG